CAAAAUGCAUGCUGUCUGAUCUCAGGAUAUCCAUCAAUGGGAAAGAUCUCUUCUGGUUGGUACCAGACAUUGUUCAAAAGGUUACCUGAACCUGAAGACACCUUUGCUGUAUUUGCAGUGUCAUAUUUGGAGAAAUUAAGAUGGAGAAACUGCACCAUAUCCCACACUCACUUCAAGAACAAGAAGAAGCCAUCCUAGCAGCACAGCAGUUCUCAUGAGUCCAUGCAUCAUCUGGCUAGCUUAUUGGAACAAAAACUUUGUAAAGAGGGAGAGAAAAGUUGAAGUAUUUAUCUUGUAUGUUCUUCUUGAAGCUCUACAUAUAUAAUCUAAGGGGGUGUGUUUCAUCA